CGGGUGAGUAAUACGUGAGUGACCUACCUUUGACUCUGGGAUAAGCCUGGGAAACUGGGUCUAAUACCGGAUAGGAACUGCCUUUAGUGUGGUGGUUGGAAAGUUUUUUCGGUGCAAGAUGAGCUCGCGGCCUAUCAGCUUGUUGGUGGGGUAAUGGCCUACCAAGGCGUCGACGGGUAGCCGGCCUGAGAGGGUGUACGGCCACAUUGGGACUGAGAUACGGCCCAGACUCCUACGGGAGGCAGCAGUGGGGA
rnacentral:rRNA from 1 species